rnacentral:rRNA from 1 species
AUGGGAACGCGAAGAACCUUACCUACUCUUGACAUCCAGAGAACUUUCCAGAGAUGGGUUGGUGCCUUCGGGAACUCUGAGACAGGUGCUGCAUGGCUGUCGUCAGCUCGUGUUGUGAAAUGUUGGGUUAAGUCCCGCAACGAGCGCAACCCUUAUCCUUUGUUGCCAGCGGUUAGGCCGGGAACUCAAAGGAGACUGCCAGUGAUAAACUGGAGGAAGGUGGGGAUGACGUCAAGUCAUCAUGGCCCUUACGAGUAGGGCUACACACGUGCUACAAUGGCGCAUACAAAGAGAAGCGACCUCGCGAGAGCAAGCGGACCUCAUAAAGUGCGUCGUAGUCCGGAUUGGAGUCUGCAACUCGACUCCAUGAAGUCGGAAUCGCUAGUAAUCGUAGAUCAGAAUGCUACGGUGAAUACGUUCCCGGGUCUUGUACACA